rnacentral:rRNA from 1 species
AACGUAGGAGGCAAGCGUUAUCCGGAUUUACUGGGUGUAAAGCGCGUGCAGGCGGAGGUGCAAGUCACUUGUGAAAGCGCCCGGCUCAACCGGGCGAGGACGAGUGAAACUGCACGACUAGAGGACGGUAGAGGCGUGUGGAAUUCCGGGUGUAGUGGUGAAAUGCGUAGAGAUCCGGAGGAACACCAGUGGCGAAGGCGACACGCUGGACCGACCCUGACGCUCAGACGCGACAGCAUGGGGAGCGAACGGG